rnacentral:rRNA from 14 species
CACCAGGUUGAUUCUGCCUGACGUAGACGCUAUUCCCUAAGAUUAACCCAUGCAUGUUUUUGACAUUUGAAAAAUGGACUGCUCAGUAAUACUCACUUUAUUUAAUGUACAUUUGAAAAUAACUACGUUAAAGUGUAGAUAAGAUGUGUACAGUAAGAGUGAGACCUAUCAGCUAGUUGUUAAGGUAAUGGCUUAACAAGGCAGUGACGGGUAACGGUAUUACUUUGUAAUAUUCCGGAGAAGGAGCCUGAGAGACGGCUACUAAGUCUAAGGAUUGCAGCAGGGGCGAAACUUGACCUAUGGAUUUUAUCUGAGGCAGUUAUGGGAAGUAAUAUUAUAUUGUUUCAUAUUGUAAAAGUAUAUGAGGUGAUUAAUUGGAGGGCAAAUCAAGUGCCAGCAGCCGCGGUAAUACUUGUUCCAAGAGUGUGUAUGAUGAUUGAUGCAGUUAAAAAGUCCGUAGUUUAUAUUUAAGAAGCAAUAUGAGGUGUACUGUAUAGUUGGGAGAGAGAUGAAAUGUGACGACCCUGACUGGACGAACAGAAGCGAAAGCUGUACACUUGUAUGUAUUUUUUGAACAAGGACGUAAGCUGGAGGAGCGAAGAUGAUUAGAUACCAUUGUAGUUCCAGCAGUAAACUAUGCCAACGAUGUGAUAUGAUAUUAAUUGUAUUACAUGAUAGAAAUUUGAGUUUUUUGGCUCUGGGGAUAGUAUGAUCGCAAGAUUGAAAAUUAAAGAAAUUGACGGAAGAAUACCACAAGGAGUGGAUUGUGCGGCUUAAUUUGACUCAACGCGAGGUAACUUACCAAUAUUUUAUUAUUCAGAGAAGAUAUAUUAUCUGAGGAUGAUAAUAGUGGUGCAUGGCCGUUUUCAAUGGAUGCUGUGAAGUUUUGAUUAAUUUCAACAAGACGUGAGACCCUUUUUUUAUAGACAGACACAAUCAGUGUAGGAAGGAAAGGAUUAAAACAGGUCCGUUAUGCCCUCAGACAUUUUGGGCUGCACGCGCAAUACAAUAGAUAUAUAAUCUUUAUGGGAUAAUAUUUUGUAAGAGAUAUUUGAACUUGGAAUUGCUAGUAAAUUUUAUUAAAUAAGUAGAAUUGAAUGUGUCCCUGUUCUUUGUACACACCGCCCGUCGCUAUCUAAGAUGAUAUGUGUUGUGAAAUUAGUGAAAACUACUUGAACAAUAUGUAUUAGAUCUGAUAUAAGUCGUAACAUGGUUGCUGUUGGAGAACCAUUAGCAGGAUCAUAA